UGUAUAGUUUCUAGAAAGUCUGAAGGAGCACUGAUGUUUUCCCUCGAAUGCAGUUUCUAUGUCACCGUGGUAAAGAAGAAUUUUCAGGCUUGCAGUCAAGGACAGCCUUUCAAAUUCUCUUUGGAUGAAACUAAUCCCCAAGGCUGCCCAACCUCCCUGUAACUAAGAAGUUUACAAGGCCAAAUAUUUGAUGCACUGGCCUGAAAACAAUGAUUUGGAUGUCAGUCACUGACGACACAUCAUAAUGCUUACCACCACCCUUCCAAACCCACUCCGGACCAGUAAACAGUGAUUAUGCUGACAGAGCUGAAACAAACCUUUACAUCCAUCUCGAUGGGAUAACCACAUUGGUUUGUUUAGUAAACACUGAGACCAACUCCACCAUCCAGAGGCCUGACAGACAAAUGGCCUGAGACAGGGCUGGGAAAGUUUUGCUUCUGGUUGGGACUUCAGGAAGAGUUUUUUGUUUUGUUUUGUUUUGUUUUGUUUUCCCCCAAGGGAACAAGCCCUUGAAUCCGAGAGGCCGAGGUUGUGGUGAACCGAGAUUGCGCCAUUGCACUCCAGCCUGGGCAACAAGAGCGAAACUCCGUCUCAAAAAAAAAUAAAUAAAUAAAAAAGA